rnacentral:rRNA from 1 species
UACGUAGGGUGCAAGCGUUGUCCGGAAUUAUUGGGCGUAAAGAGCUCGUAGGCGGUUUGUCGCGUCUGCUGUGAAAACUGGAGGCUCAACCUCCAGCCUGCAGUGGGUACGGGCAGACUAGAGUGCGGUAGGGGAGAUUGGAAUCCUGGUGUAGCGGUGGAAUGCGCAGAUAUCAGGAGGAACACCGAUGGCGAAGGCAGAUCUCUGGGCCGUAACUGACGCUGAGGAGCGAAACGUGGGGGAGCAAACAGG